rnacentral:rRNA from 1 species
AGAGUUUGAUCCUGGCUCAGGAUGAACGCUGACAGAAUGCUUAACACAUGCAAGUCAACUUGAACUCGGUUUGGGUGGCGGACGGGUGAGUAACGCGUAAAGAACUUGCCUCACAGCUAGGGACAACAUUUGGAAACGAAUGCUAAUACCUGAUAUUAUGAUUAUAUGGCAUCGUAUAAUUAUGAAAGCUAAAAUGCACUGUGAGAGAGCUUUGCGUCCCAUUAGCUAGUUGGAGAGGUAACGGCUCACCAAGGCGAUGAUGGGUAGCCGGCCUGAGAGGGUGAACGGCCACAAGGGGACUGAGACACGGCCCUUACUCCUACGGGAGGCAGCAGUGGGGAAUAUUGGGCAAUGGACCAAGAGUCUGAUCCAGCAAUUCUGUGUGCACGAUGAAGUUUUCGGAAUGUAAAGUGCUUUCAGUUGGGAAGAAAAAAUGACGGUACCAACAGAAGAAGUGACGGCUAAAUACGUG